rnacentral:lncRNA from 1 species
CUAAGGGAGCUACCAUUUGAUUUUUAUGGGGGGCUAGGAUGAAAUUUGAAAAAAAUAGGCAGGACAGGAGUUUUGAGUAAAAAAAAAGGCAGGAUGAGACACUUGCAAAAAAAAAGUCAGGACGACAAUUUAGGUAAAAAAAAAGUCAGGAUAAACUAAAAAAAAAAAGGCAGGACCGAACAGAGUGAAAAAUAAAAAGGCAGGACAGAGAUUACAGCUAAAAAAAAAAUGCAGGACAAAAUUUUUCAUCCUAGCCCCCAACCCCCACCCCCAUAAAAAUCAAAUGGUAGCUCCCUAAUGUGAACG